AAGAAUUUAUUUUAUUGAUUUAUAAAAUCUAAUUUCAAAUGCAUAAAUGCCAAGAAUUUCAAAAGCACACAAAGUUUUAAUUACCAAGUCAGCCCAAAUCCUAGGUCAGUAUGCAACUUAAGUUGAAGUCAUUAAGUUUCCGUUAGAGAGUUGUAAGACUUAUUUAUACCUGGGUGCUCGGUGAAAUCUGGACCAUACACAAGCUAAG
rnacentral:lncRNA from 1 species